UGGCUGUCCAGCACUACAUAGAGACACUGCAGAGACGCAUAGAGGAGGAACAGAAGAGUAAGAUAAAGGGGAGGGAGUACACCAACAUUAAGUAUUCUCUGUCUGACCUGACUGGUGGAGACCAGCUGCAGAGUCCUCUGCCUCCCUGCACCCCCAGCCCCACCUGUGCAGAAAUGAGGGAGGACUGCUCCAGAGUGUAUGAGAACGUCGGUCUGAUGCAGCAGCAGAAGAGCUACAGAUGAGAUUGCCCUUUGACCCCAAUGCUGUCCCAGUCCUAGGAAUUACAUUUUUUUGCCAGCCGCACCUGAACGCCUGAGACGUGAUCACAAUUACUACAAUGAAAAGAAGAAAAUGUAAAAUUACGAAAAACUAAAAUCUCAGAGAGGUCUACGAGAGAACCGAGAUUAACGGAGGGGUUUUUGUUCCCUCUCUUUUUCUCAUCCCCCUCUCUCUCUAGGAACAGUGGCUGUCUCGUCCCCUUAUAAACCACUGUGAAUAUCUGGAGAGCCCUAACGAGCUUAAUGACCGAACUUAAUAACAAGCCUAAACCCCUAAACUAAAGCUCAGCCUGAGUUUAAACCUGUCUCAGACCAGACCCAGGCUGAGUCUAGCAGCAUUCUGCUCACCAGAGGGAGAACAACCUAGCUAACCUGUUCUGUUUGUCUUUGUUCCACUCUCCCUUUUUUGCCAUGAAUUAUUGUCUUUUUUCUUAUUAACCAAAGGAAAGAAACACGUAGCUAGUUUGUUUUGGGAGCUAGUGAGAUGAGUGAGCCCUUCUCAUAGUUGAGAAAAAAGGUCUGUGCCAAAAACCAAAAAUGGUUUCAUCCAACGUCUCAGCCAAUCAGUGGUUUCCCUCUGCCCGGCUAAACCAUUUUUUGAGAAAAAAGGGAUAUUUCCAGUGAUAAUGUUAAGUGUCAUGUUUUCUGUUACUGAAGGAAGAAUUCUGGGUAUUGUAGUCUCAAUAACUUCCCAGUGGAUUACUAUUCAGUAUGUUGGGGAGGAUAUUGGUUUUGCCUUUUAAAGACAUUUUAUUAUUUUUAUGUUUUUUUAUUUCAUGUUUUUGUUGACAUGUUUUUUGUUGUUGCCACACUAUGUAAUACUGUCUCCCUUAAUUACCAUUCCUCACACCGAUGUCCUUAACGCAGCAUUCCCAUAGCAAAGUAAUGGCUACAGCCCACGCCUUGUACCCUGGGGGGAGAUGUUGGCUAGAACUCUGUUUCCCUGGGUGCCUUGUGGUCCCACUAAGCACUAAUGUGGGGUCUGAGGGUAGUUGGUAGUUUCUGGAGGUUUGGUGGGGUAGCCUUGCCCCAUACUUUAUGUAAGUCCUGUUUUGACAACAAACGUUAGAGUUGUCUACAGCACAGACAGUAGGGGACGAGGCAAUAGGUUGGGUGCUUCCUCCCAGGCUCUUCUGUGUCAAAGUUACUAUGGAAACUGUUUCUGGGGUAACUUGUUCUUUAUUCCAGUCCGCAGCAGGCAUCGCCACUGAAGCGUGGCUGCCCCCCCCCAAAAGUUUUACAUUUUUUUAAUUUUCUAAACAAACAUCAUAAUGAUACUAUUACAUUUUGUGCUUCUUCUGUUCUUUUUAAAGAUGAAUGCCUGUUGUGUACUUUUGAAGCACCACAUGAACUUAAUUUUCUGUUUCGAGAAGCUACCGCACAUUUGUUAUCUCUGGCAAUUUUAGUGUUCAUUGUUGUGGUUGUCAUGGAAACUACAGACCCACUGUUGGUUGGCUGAAUUUGGUCAAGGACACACACAGUUGGAGUCAGUUGCAAAUUUCUUUGUUCUACAUUGGUGUUACACAGUUUAAUGUGCAGUUUUCAGUCUCUCCGUUUAUUAUUUUGCUAGGUGCAUCACACUUAACCACAUUACUUUCUCAGUCUGUUGUCCAUAUGGAAAUAAGUGCUACAGUAUUCUAGAAAGGGUUGUUUCCAGGUUGAUACAAUCAUUUAAUAUGUGUUUUGUAUGUACUUUAUCAUGGUAACAAUCUAACAUAUAACGUUAGCUUUUUUCACCAACACACUCCUUCCAUUCUACACAUGAUUACUGGUUAAAGCCCUUUGUCUUUGUUUGGCAUUGCACCUUAUUCCCAAUGUAAUGCUAUGCACACGUUUUGUCCAGAGCCUUAUGAGGACAGAAGUAUUAACCUAUAUAGGGAAUAGGGCGCCAUUUCAGAUCAGCCCUUUGUGUAACGCAGGUAGGGUUGAGGAGGAAGUUUUCUUGGUCUUUAGUAUGUCCAGAGUUACAUUCUCAUUUCCCACACUCAGAAGUGUGCACUUGUUCACUCCCCCUCAUGAUUUAAAAACGAUUGGAUUGGUCGAUGUAAGUUUGCAGUCCUUAGCAACGAGGGAGGACUAGAACAUUCAUUUUCUCAGCCUCUCUGGGGCUCCAGGUUACCCCUAACCACUGAUCUAGGAUCAGCUGUGCUGGGAAACACUUUAGAUCGGUGUCUUCGUCCUUUUCAGAGCAGUUGUUGUUCUUCUGAAUGGUUUGUUUGUUUCUCUGCUGGGUGGAGACCCUCCAUUGACUGAGUUAGGGGAUCCUUAGUAUCCGCUGUGUGUAGUGUGCCCUUUCGUUGUGUGUUUGUUUGUCGAACACUAGUCUGUGGCCUGCUUCUGGUGGUUUUUAUGUAUCGUGGUGUGUUAGGAUUUGUGUGUGUGUGAUCAAAGAAUACUGCUGUUUCAGCUGCCUGCUCCUCAAUGCCUGGUCUUUUCUUUUGAAUUCUGUUGUUUUCCUCUGAUCAUGAUGAAACGGCUUCAUCUCUUAUUUCCUGUCUCUUUCUGUCACGUAAAGCAUCUACAUGCAUAGAUCUGCCUCCCUAUGCAUAUGCAUUAUACAGUAUGUGUUGGUUAUACUCUGUUUGACAAACCAGUGCUCUCCAUACCUGAAAACACUUUGUCAACCGGAAAGCAUAAAAAACAUGAAAUUUUUUGAACUCAAUGCAAACAAACAAAACAAAUUAUAUUUUUUAACUUGUAUAUUGUACAUGAAUAUCUUGUAGAGGAGAAUGUACUUACUAAACAUAUCUAAUUGCCAAUAAGAUUUACUGUCUGUAAUAAUCCAGUAGCUCUCUACCCCGUGUCAUGGAGUUGGAGCUUUCUCACAAAGCUUGAGGUUUAUCGUAUUGUAUUUCAAUGCAGGUAACCAUGGUAACUUCUUGAUAACAAUAAUAAACGGCAAGCUCAUGCCUCA